rnacentral:misc_RNA from 1 species
GAUGAAGAACGUAGCGAAAUGCGAUAGGUAAUGUGAAUUGCAGAAUUCAGUGAAUCAUCGAAUCUUUGAACGCACAUUGCGCCCUUUGGUAUUCCUUAGGGCAUGCCUGUUCGAGCGUCACUACACACCUUAUCACAAUAUUUGUGGUCUUGGCAGGAGUGAAUUGCUGGUCUAUGGAAGUAUUCCAGCAGUACACAAUGCUAAAAAAUAUGGGAAGGUUACCAGAUAUGAACAACAGACUUUGUAAAUGGUUGUAGGACCUAGAUCAGUCACAAGUCAUGUCCGGUCCCUUACCUUAAGGACCCCCAUCCUAGAUGAACUAUGGGUUGACCUCGGAUCAGGUAGGAAUACCCGCUGAACUUAAGCAUAUCAAUAAGCGGAGGA